AUACACCUUAGACAGGUUGCCAAUCCAUCGCAGGGCCCACACACCAUUUGAUCUCACAGACAUCCCCGAGGGUCAAUUUUAGAGUCUCCAGUUAGCCCACCUGCAUGUCUUUGGACUGUGGGCGAUAAUCGGAUUACCUGCCGGAAACCCGCGCGGACCUGAGGACACCACGCAAACUCUACACAGAAGACCUUCGUCGGGAUUCAAAAUCGUGACCAGGAGAAAACUGAGCGAAGAUCUUUGCUCUGGGAGAGGAACCCCAGGAGAGAAUCUUUGUUAUGAAUCCAGCUGCCGACUCCACAGGAGCAGAACAUUUCGCCCGUCCAUGCCUCAGGGACGUGUCUCCACUCAAGGUAAAGGAGAAGGCUGCUGACGUGACCUUUGACCUUUGACCCUGCAUAUCUCGCUCGGCUGUCAGCAUCACAGAGACUUCUGUGUAUUAAGGGGAAGAGGCAGAAGCUCUCUUUUGAGGCCGCACAUUCAUUAGAGCCAGUUUCUUUCAGCAGGUAUGAAGGAUCUCAGCAGGUAUGAAGGCUUUCAGUAGUCUGUACCUGUAUCUCAGAGGCAGAGCACAACAUUUAUCAGCUUCGGAAAAGCCUAAAUAAAAGUGCAAGGCUAAACAGGCAGGCAACUCUAAAUGAGUCGGCUGGAAAAAUUCAAUCUGGGGCAGGAGCCAGGCGGUUUUAUCCGGAAGGAUCCGGCGGGAGCUCUGUGUGGAGCGGGGUGCAGGGUUCAGGUGGCAGAGCACUAAAAUACUCCCCACACCUGGCGCUCAGGUACCCACACCUGGCGCUCAGGUAACCCACACCUGGCUGUGUGCGCAGCGUUGAGCACGGCGGAGCGAAGGGGCACAGGUACCGACACUACCGAGCGGCGGAGAGGCGGGGUGCGGCCGGAUGAGUCAUCCUCCGGCACGUUC